UGACCCCUCGGGUCACCUAGCCAACUGACGUUGUUUGUGAAUUCUAUAUUCACGCAAUGAGCCAAUAGACCCGACUGCCUAUUGGCUUUUUUUUG
rnacentral:sRNA from 1 species